GGGUAUAUGAAGAUUUUUUUUUUUACUAUGGGAGGCUUAAGUUAUUCAUUCGAUGAGGUUUUUGAAUCCAUAAAUGUCUGUUGGGUUUUUGCCUGAUUGUUCUACGAGGAUAAUUGAGCCUCGAUUGGGAUGUCGUAUAUCAAUAGGAGAAAGAUGAAGGGAAGUAAAAGUAUGGAACUUAGGGAUUUUGGUGGAUUUGGUUCGAUGGUGGAAGAAAUAAGAUUACAAUUGACAUUGAAAUAGAUAUAGGGGAUUGUUUCUCCUUUGCUCAAGAUUUCUGUAAGGAGAUGAUAAUUGCUCAUUGUUGCCUACAGUUAUCUGGCUCUUUAUUUUUCUUUUUCAUAAUCAACAUUUUAUUAGUGAGUUGUUAUUUGGAGGUAAUUAGGAG
rnacentral:lncRNA from 1 species